GAUGAACGCUGGCGGCGUGCCUAACACAUGCAAGUCGAGCGGCAGCGAGGGGUGCUUGCACCCUGUCGGCGAGCGGCAGACGGCUGAGUAACGCGUGGGAACGUGCCCCAAAGUGAGGAAUAACUGCCCGAAAGGGUAGCUAAUACCGCAUAUUAUCUUCGGAUCAAAGGAUUUAUCCGCUUUGGGAGCGGCUCGCGUCGGAUUAGGUAGUUGGUGAGGUAAUGGCUCACCAAGCCGACGAUCCGUAGCUGGUCUGAGAGGAUGACCAGCCAGACUGGAACUGAGACACGGUCCUGACUCCUACGGGAGGCAGCAGUGAGGAAUCUUCCACAACGGGCGAAAGCCUGAUGGAGCAACGCCGCGUGCAGGACGAAGGCCUUCGGGUUGUAAACUGCUUUUAUAAGUGAGGAAUAUGACGGUAACUUAUGAAUAAGGAUCGGCUAACUACGUG
rnacentral:rRNA from 1 species